UUCGGAUUGUAGUCUGCAACCCGACUACAUGAAGCCGGAAUCGCUAGUAAUCGCGGAUCAGAAUGCCGCGGUGAAUACGUUCCCGGGUCUUGUACACACCGCCCGUCACACCAUGGGAGUCGGGAAUGCCCGAAGUCAGUGACCCAACCCAAGGGAGGGAGCUGCCGAAGGCAGGCCUGGUGACUGGGGUGAAGUCGUAACAAGGUAAC
rnacentral:rRNA from 1 species